rnacentral:rRNA from 1 species
UGGCGGACGGGUGAGUAACACGUAGGUGACCUGCCUUUUAGAGGGGAAUAACCAGAUGAAAAUUUGGCUAAUGCCGCAUACGAAGUACAAAUCUAAAAGUAGUACUUGAAAGGAUGCCUCUGUAUAUGCAUCCACUAAAAGAUGGGCCUGCGGAACAUUAGCUAGUUGGUGGGGUAAAGGCCUACCAAGGCAACGAUGUUUAUCCGGUCUGAGAGGAUGAUCGGACACACUGGAACUGAGACACGGUCCAGACUCCUACGGGAGGCAGCAGUGGGGAAUAUUGCGCAAUGGGGGUAACCCUGACGCAGCAACGCCGCGUGAGUGAGGAAGGACUUCGGUCUGUAAAGCUCUGUUAAUGUGGAAAAAUGGUAGCUGGUCUAAUAGGCCGGCUAUUUGAUGGUACACAUAGAGGAAGCACCGGCUAACUUCGUGCCAGCAGCCGCGGUAAU